rnacentral:rRNA from 1 species
AAUCAACGCUGGCGGCAUGCCUAACACAUGCAAGUCGAACGGGAAAGUGGGAGCAAUCCCAUGAGUAUAGUGGCGCACGGGUGAGUAACACGUGACUAACCUACCCUCGAGUGGGGAAUAACCCCGGGAAACCGGGGCUAACACCGCAUAAUACCGCAAGGUCAAAUGCGCAAGCAGCUUGAGGAGGGGGUCGCGGUUGAUUAGCUAGUUGGUAGGGUAAUGGCCUACCAAGGCAGNGAUCAAUAGCCGGCCUGAGAGGGCGCACGGCCACACUGGAACUGAAACACGGUCCAGACUCCUACGGGAGGCAGCAGUGGGGAAUUUUGCGCAAUGGGGGAAACCCUGACGCAGCAAUGCCGCGUGGAGGAUGAAGUCCUUUGGGAUGUAAACUCCUUUCGAUCGGGAAGAUAAUGACGGUACCGGAAGAAGAAGCCCCGGCUAACUCUGUGCCAGCCGCCGCGGUAAU